UUCUCGUUAGAUCACCGAAGUCAAAGCGUCAUUGGGCGCGAUCAGUACUUGGGUGGGUGACCACCUGGGAACACCGUGUGCAGU